GCUGGCGGCAGGCCUAACACAUGCAAGUCGAGCGGUAGAGAGGUGCUUGCAUCUCUUGAGAGCGGCGGACGGGUGAGUAAUGCCUAGGAAUCUGCCUAGUGGUGGGGGAUAGCGUUCGGAAACGGACGCUAAUACCGCAUACGUCCUACGGGAGAAAGCGGGGGAUCUUCGGGCCUCGCGCCAUUAGAUGAGCCUAGGUCGGAUUAGCUAGUUGGUGAGGUAAUGGCUCACCAAGGCGACGAUCCGUAACUGGUCUGAGAGGAUGAUCAGUCACACUGGAACUGAGACACGGUCCAGACUCCUACGGGAGGCAGCAGUGGGGAAUAUUGGACAAUGGGCGAAAGCCUGAUCCAGCCAUGCCGCGUGUGUGAAGAAGGUCUUCGGAUUGUAAAGCACUUUAAGUUGGGAGGAAGGGUAGUAACCUAAUACGUUGCUACUUUGACGUUACCGACAGAAUAAGCACCGGCUAACUUCGUGCCAGCAGCCGUGGUAAUACGAAGGGUGCAAGCGUUAAUCGGAAUUACUGGGCGUAAAGCGCGCGUAGGUGGUUCAGCAAGUUGGAUGUGAAAGCCCUGGGCUCAACCUGGGAACUGCAUCCAAAACUACUGAGCUAGAGUACGGUAGAGGGUAGUGGAAUUUCUUGUGUAGCGGUGAAAUGCGUAGAUAUAGGAAGGAACACCAGUGGCGAAGGCGACUACCUGGACUGAUACUGACACUGAGGUGCGAAAGCGUGGGGAGCAAACAGGAUUAGAUACCCUGGUAGUCCACGCCGUAAACGAUGUCGACUAGCCGUUGGGAUCCUUGAGAUCUUAAUGGCGCAGCUAACGCAUUAAGUCGACCGCCUGGGGAGUACGGCCGCAAGGUUAAAACUCAAAUGAAUUGACGGG
rnacentral:rRNA from 1 species